rnacentral:lncRNA from 1 species
UGGAAUUUCUUAUCUCAUCGCCACCUUGGAAAAUCCAAUAUCUCCAACUGCAAAAGAGGUCGCAUAGUAGCAACCUUCAAGAAAACUAACUUCGACAAAAGAUGCUUGAAUUGAUUCCAGCUCCACUCCCAAUUAAAAUUAGCCAUAACACACAAAGGGACAUGGUAUAAUGGAACAAGCUCUGGACGGUGAUAAUGAUUUAUUAACGGUCCACAGUCUUUCACCUAAGAAUCGCGCGAAAAAUCAAUCACCUCUCCAUUCCCAACAGACCAAAGUAUACCCCGUCGCACCUCAUCUCAUAUGCUAGCGAUACCUUUCCAAAGGUGAGAGCAAUUUAUCAACUUGAGCACCCGAAUCUAAAGUAAAUAUGGUCUGGGCACUAAGUUAAAGCCAAGCUUCACGAGAAAUGUUGCAUUUUGAUAACUGAACUUUUUUAAGCCAAGCCCGCCCUGGCAAGUAGGUUUAGAAACCUCUUUCCAGUUGACCAAAUUAAUCUUCCUCUAUUCAUUCUAUGUCCCCAGACAAAUCUUCUUAUGAACUUUUCCAUCUUUUC